rnacentral:rRNA from 1 species
UACGUAGGGGCCCGAGCGUUGUCCGGAGUUACUGGGCGUAAAGCGCGCGCAGGCGGCUCGCUUUGCCCGGCGUGAAAGCCCCCGGCUCAACCGGGGAGGGUCGUCGGGGACGGGCGGGCUCGAGGCAGGUAGGGGAGAUUGGAAUUCCCGGUGUAGCGGUGAAAUGCGUAGAUAUCGAGAGGAACACCUGCGGCGAAGGCGGGUCUCUGGGCAUCUCCUGACGCUGAGGCGCGAAAGCGUGGGGAGCAAACGGGAUUAGAAACCCUUGU